UACGGAGGGUGCAAGCGUUAUCCGGAUUUACUGGGUUUAAAGGGUGCGUAGGCGGGCUAUUAAGUCAGUGGUGAAAUCCCGGGGCUCAACCUCGGAACUGCCAUUGAUACUAUUAGCCUUGAAUUAUGUUGAGGUUGGCGGAAUAUAACAUGUAGCGGUGAAAUGCUUAGAUAUGUUAUGGAACACCGAUUGCGAAGGCAGCUGGCUAAACAUAUAUUGAUGCUGAUGCACGAAAGCGUGGGUAGCGAACAGG
rnacentral:rRNA from 1 species